ensembl:lincRNA
CUUGUCUUAAUCAGUAACUAUCAACAUGGAACUUCAUCGUAAGCCUUCUAUACAUCUUAAUGAACGAAAUGUACUGCAAUACCAUGAUCCAACUUGCUACCUUUUUUUAAAGGUUUGGUAAAUUGAACGUGAUAUACCAUUUAUUAAACCAAUGAUGAUUAUUCUUGAUCACGUGAAAGCUCUCUAAAUAUUGCCUCACUGAAACACUAAUUUUGAUUUCAAAUGCUAUUUUCUCCAUUUGAAGUUGUUUUUGUUGUUGUAUCACCCCGGACAGGUCCACUGCACUGAGACAGCUGAUCAAUCUCGACCCAUAGCUGAGCUGACCUGAGCUGAGCGACCCAGAGAUCCACCGCAUCCAAGAUGGUGUACCCCCACCUUCCUGAAGCAAGGGACACGAGAGAUUUGGAGACAUAGACAAGUGGGAGUGGGUUGGUCCAUGGAGACCGAUUGGCACUUUGACCGAUGCCAUGCUGCCUUGACAAUUGCAGGCAGCAGGGAAGAGUGGGGGAGAUUUGCCCCUCCCCUCGCAUUGAGGGGUACAACCACCGUGAAGAGGCAUCCAUCCAUGAUAGUUGUUCCUUUCAAAGUUAAACUUCCUUAUGUAAAAUGUUUGGCAAGAGUCAAUUCUCGUGCAAGAGCGAAAACACAGAAUGGAUCAGGAUGCAACAGAACAAAAAGAAGAGCAGAAAGAGAAGGGGGAAAUCCCAACAGCAUGGCUGAAGGACAAAAUACACGAAGACAGAAAACAAGGGAUGCGGGAGCCUUUACUAUGUAUGCAAAAAAAAAAAUAAAACCUGGUCUGGGAAACUUUGAGCUGGAGGGACGAACUCACUAUCCAGCAACAUAUGUGGAGCAACCCGGAAUUGUGCCCCACUUGGUAAAUCUGAACCUUCAUGACACUCAGGGUGUUUGUCCAUGGAGUACUACUCUUCCUUAUGGGAAUCCACCUCACCCCCCCCUCCUUUUUACACCUGUCUCUCCUGAAUCGUAUAAAACCCUAAAGGGCAUCUGCCACAGACAAGUAAAAACGCAAGGCCUGUCACUCUCUUAUCAUUUACAGGUUGGUGGCCAUUCUGUUUUCAUGGUCUUGCUCCUUCUGAUCUUUCAGUCGUCUGCACUUCCCCAGCUCCGUCACCAAGGUGCAAGGGCAUACAUUUUCCAGUGAAGGUUAGUUCCAGUCAGCAG